GAUGAACGCUGGCGGCGUGCUUAACACAUGCAAGUCGAACGGAACUCCUAUGAUUGAGGUUUCGGCCAAAAGAAUAGGAUGUUUAGUGGCGGACGGGUGAGUAACGCGUGAGUAACCUGCCUUGGAGUGGGGAAUAACACAGUGAAAACUGUGCUAAUACCGCAUAAUGCAUUUGGGUCGCAUGAUCCUGAAUGCCAAAGAUUUAUCGCGCUGAGAUGGACUCGCGUCUGAUUAGCUAGUUGGCGGGGUAACGGCCCACCAAGGCGACGAUCAGGAGGCGGACUGAGAGGUUAGCCGGCCACAUUGGGACUGAGACAGGGCCCAGACUCCUACGGGAGGCAGCAGUGGGGAAUAUUGGGGAAUGGGCGCAAGCCUGACCCAGCAACGCCGCGUGAAGGAGGAAGGCUUUCGGUAUGUAAAGCUCUAUCAGCAGGGAAGAAGAAAUGACGGUACCUGACUAAGAAGCACCGGCUAAAUACGUGCCAGCAGCCGCGGUAA
rnacentral:rRNA from 1 species